rnacentral:rRNA from 1 species
GUACACACCGCCCGUCACACCACGAAAGUCAGCUGUACCAGAAGUCACUGGCGCCAACCCGCAAGGGAGGCAGGUGCCCAAGGUAUGGUUGGUAAUUGGGRCUAAGUCGUAACAAGGUARCMGUAGGUGAACCUGCAGAAGGAUCA